rnacentral:lncRNA from 1 species
CAAAAAUUACUACAAGAUAUUUCCAUAAAAACAAACAAACAAUUAUUAGAAGAUUAAAGCUUAAGCAUAAACACUUUCCAGAAACUCGAAAAAGUAAUCGAACAAGAACACAACAUUCGAAUUGUAGAAUAACAACCCUCUACAAAUCCAAUUCCAUAAUCAAAUAGAAGAAACCAGAGAUCCAUCCCUAAUUCCCAAAAUUUCCUUCAAGUCAUCGACCAGAUCUGGUGCUUCUUGAUCGGAAUCCAUCGACGUGAUCGCGUACUUCUCAAUUGGAGUUCGAUCUGUUUCGGCCCAGUCAUCAUCUUCCUCAACGAGAGCCUCCGGCAACGUCGAGCAUCAUGCAGUCGAGGACUAGGGGUCUUCAUCAAGCCGGCGGCAGACGAAACCAACGCCUUCGUUAGAGAUCUCACCUCCGUCAAGACUUUGACGUCGGCGGCAUUUUCAAAGCGGCGGUGUCUUUCGACGAAGAGAGAGAGAGAGAGAGAGAGAAGGACUUCCUUCUUUUUGGGGCUGGAAGGCUGUUCUAGCUAGACGAACGCGACUGUAGCUUCCUAUCAAAACCAAAGCCAUACACAGGAAGCAAAACCUCAAUCAGUUACUAAUUCCGAUGCCGGCAAAGCUAGGAGAACCAAAAUCCAGAGGGAAAAGGACUUACUCGGAGCGAUUUGACGACGGAGUCCUUGUUAGGGCGGGUUUGACGGCGGAGCUGGUUGCCGAUUUGGUGACGAGUUGUCUGUGUGUGAUUAUGGACGAGAGAGAGAGAGAGAGAGAGAGAGAGAGAGAGAGAGAGAGAGAGUGUGUGUGUGUGUGAUUAUGGACGAGGGAGCUGAUUGUGGAUGAGAGAGUAAGGAGGGUAUUUUAGGUAUACUACAAUACUGGAGUUGGUGGAUGUAGGCUUAUAAGUGGACUUAUAUGGGUAAAAAAUUUAGGGUGGACUUAUGUAGAAGAAAAUGUCUCUAGGUAGACUUAUAUGAAAUUUUCUAUAAAAAAAAUAUGUAUUUAUAUAGCAAUUAACCUCACUUCCUGUGAGUGAGACUUUGAGCUGAAUAAGUAUCAAUAAUUCAAUAUAACAUUCUUUUCAUAAGCAAAUUACUUAAUUACAUGUGGUAUUUUUUUUAUUUUUUUCUUCAAAAAUUUUGAGUGGGACUUAAGUCCCAAAUUCUAACAUACUAGAUCCGCGCCCCAGCUGACCACCUCUUUCCAUCUCAAUCUGUGCCUACCAAGGUAGGUGAACAACGAAUCGUGAUUCACGCCAAGCCUGGUCAUCUAUUAUCCAAUAAUUAUAGCACCUGUCAAAUAACUGUUGUUACCAAAUUGGAACAUUGGCUGACACGUCAGGCCAAAAAUAUGUUGACGCUUUCCUUUUUGGAGAGUGGGAAGGUUGGAUCGUUGAUCCUUCUUUUAUAUGAAUUAAUAAGCACGAUUUUGCAACGUGUCAUCUGGGCAAAGCAAAUGAGGUCGUGUUCUCGACCAACAAAGUGACCACCAAAGCUUUGGAUCAUUAAGGAGACUUCAGGUUCAAGUAAGUCUUUGUUUUUCUCGUUGUUUAAUUAAGAAUUGGCCUUACCCGAGAUGAACAAAAAGCAAUAUAAACAUGCAUCGAUCUAACACGUUUUCUCCUUUUCUGUGUUACAAACUUGUAGAGAGAAUUUGAUCAAAAAAAGGAAAUAAAAAAAA